AUUGCUAGUAAUGGCAGGUCAGCAUACUGCCGUGAAUACGUUCCCGGGCCUUGUACACACCGCCCGUCACACCAUGAGAGUUGGGGAUACCCGAAGCCUGUGAGCUAACUUUUAGAGGCAGCAGUCGAAGGUAGAAUCAAUGAUUGGGGUGAAGUCGUAACAAGGUAUC
rnacentral:rRNA from 1 species